rnacentral:rRNA from 1 species
CAUCGUCAGCUUAUUCAGUAUUAAUGCAGGCCCAUAUGUGAUAAUAGAAUCCUUGUGAUUACUANAUUAUACUUGCUUGUAUUAUUUUURCUGGGUAGGUCGGCGUGCACUUCUCCUCUAGUAGAACGUCGCAACCCGUUGGAUGUUUAUCUAUGGCUUGAAUGGUAGCCUUUGAUAUUUUUUAUAUUAAAGACCUUCGAUGUCCUGAUAAACUGUUUGACGGUAUACAUAUGGUAUUGAGCCGCAAUUAUUUGCGUUAGACUUAUCGCAAGUAUGGCUUUAUUCUAGUAGUGCGGAUCUAAUGCCGUCGCUGGACAAAGCUUGCUGUUAGCUGAUAAUGUCUUUAACUGGCUUAUUUACCGGUUAGCGAUGCUACUGCUUUGGGUACUUACAGGACCCGUCUUGAAACACGGACCAAGGAGUCUAACAUGUGCGCGAGUCAUUGGGAUAUAUUUAUAUAAUUCAAACCUAAAGGCGUAAUGAAAGUAUAGAUUGUUUUAAGACAAUUAAGGGAAGAUGGGUUACGUUACGAUGUAAUCCCGCAUUCCCAGGACGUUCUAUUCUCAUUG